GUCAGUACAAGGAACACGUACUGAGUAGGUAUCAUCGGUCAACUCAAAAUAAUAAUCAAUAUAUAUUGAAUAAUAAUAUAAAAUCAACUACAAUACUUAACAGGUGGCAAGCAACAAAACACAUGAACCAUUAACAACAACAACAUAACAUGUACACCAUCAAGCACACCUAUGAGGACUCAUGGCUCCACACCAUACUCAUUUGGAAAAUAGGUUCUUUGAGAUUAGAUAUAUUAAGUUAGUUCAAGAUUUAUUUCCUUUAAUGUUAUUGUUUCGGAACGUGACACUCCGAUCCAAUAAUAUCAUGUCGGAACGUGACACUGCGAUCCAAUUAUCUCAUUAUUUUAUUUCAUCAAAUCUUCUUUAUUCAAGGCGUCAUUUUAAUAGAAAUGGUUCAAGAUUAGAAAUUCAGCAGUCUCGUAAUUUUAGCCAACCAGAAACCAUACAAUCAAGACAUACAACCACACCAUAAAGUACAUAGGAGACUUUACAAUAUCACUUAAUACAUAUCAAUCGCUAUUGAGAGUUUAUCUAUCAAAUAGAAAUAAACCAUAACCUACCUCCACCGAAGAAUUGAAGUCAAGUAACUACUUCUCCAAUGUCUUUCCUUUCCUUAUUGCCUCCGAAUCUUUCCAAUCUACACAAUUUGUAAGUUAACGAGUCUAUAAACACUUAGGUUA
rnacentral:misc_RNA from 1 species